CGUCCUAAUAUUGGCUUCAAGAAAUAUGACGCUCUGAUCACAUAACAGUUGCUCCAGGGUCAAUUGACAUAUGUAAGGACACAGAUGAUCUGAGGAGGGAAUGCUCUCUGAAAGUAGCUAUUUGUCUACGAAUGGAUACUCAUCUAGCGUGCGACUUAGGAAAUGAAUGUCAGUGAAGGUUCAUCCCAGGGAACGUAAAUGAUGAUGCCGAUGUUCAUAUACUCAUCGAAACAUGUUUCAGCCUCUGCCUUUACGGCCAGACUUCUUGCGCAAAUGGUGAGAAGGACAAUCAGAACGCCCACCAUGAAGGUGACUAGUGGCCACAAGAAGCAGUGCAGGAGAACAUUCUCAUCGUGGGUUCGUUUUAGCAGGACAUCUUCUGGCCUGAAAAGAUAACAAGGUACGCUUUAAAGGAUCUCUCAUACACGGAGGCUGCCCUGCUUCUUAUAUGUAACAGUAACAGUACUGGGAACAGAUGAGAUCACUACUAAGUGAUUACUUAUUGACUGUGAAAACUGCUACACGUGAAGUCUAUCACUACAGAGACCACUAUCACUACAUUAGCUUUAUCUAUGGAGCCAUGAUGUCCUUGAAAACGUUUUGUUUAAUCACUUUUUCUUGUG